UUGCUGCCAAGCCUGGUGUCCUGAGU
rnacentral:piRNA from 1 species